ensembl:lncRNA
UGUCCCCAUGGUGAUGUCCCCAACAUCCCAAUACACAGCUUCAUGAUGUCCCCAAUGUCCCCAUGGUGAUGUCCCCAACGUCCCCAUGGUGAUCUUCAUGAUGUCCCCCCCCCGUGUCCUCAAUGUCCCCACCUUCCCAUGGCACAGCUCCAUGGUGUCCCCAAUGUCCCCUCACUGUCCCCAUGGUGAUGUCCCCAACAUCCCAAUGCACAGCUUCAUGAUGUCCCCAAUGUCCCUAUGAUGAUGUUCCCAGUGUCCCCUCACAGUGUCCCCAAUGUCCCCACCUUCCCAUGGCACAGCUCCAUGGUGUCCCCAAUGUCCCCUCAGUGUCCCCAUGGUGACAUCCCCAACAUCCCAAUGCACAGCUCCACGAUGUCCCCAAUGUCCCCAUGGUGACGUCGCCAACGUCCCAAUACACAGCUUCAUGAUGUCCCCAACGUCCCCAUGGUGAUGUCCCCAAUGUCCCCACGGUGAUCUUCAUGAUGUCCCCCCACAGUGUCCUCAAUGUCCCCACCUUCCCAUGGCACAGCUCCAUGGUGUCCCCAAUGUCCCCAAG